UAGACAGAGGUGAGCACCCUGCUCCGUGAACACCACCCAUUCGACUGAUAGCUGCUUGUGGCCACAAGACUAUUUCUACUGCGUGUGGAGGCCAGACGAUGACACUGGGCAUCUUCCUCGACUGUUCAUCUUGAGACAGGAUCUCACAGAGCCCAAAAUGUCACUGUUUAGGCUAGGCUGCCUCAGUCUGCAGCUCCAGUAUUAGGGUUACAGUUAUGCUAGGCUAUGGCCUUCCUUUGUUCUGUAUGUUUGGGUGGUACCUAAACUCGGGUCUCAUCUCCCCAACCCAAGACGGUCUCUGCUGCAGCUCGUCUGGGAAAUAGCACGAGAAUAGACAGAGCUGGACAACACCCCUCUCUAACCACCAAGAGCCAUGUCAUUUGAAGAGCAUACACACAUUGAAUGUCUUAAGAUCAGCUAUGGAGGCUGCUGCUGAACAUUCCAGAAAGCUAUGCAAAGUUUGUCUUUAUUGAUGCUGUGAUUUCUGUUCAUUUCCUUCUGUUCUGCAGUGUAUGCAGAGUUCAGAGCAACAGAACCACGAGGUCACCAUCAUUCCCUGUAAAACAAGGCUGGCCUGGCAAGGUCACACCCUCAGAGCCCCAAAGCUUGCUCAGUCUGCUCAGCCCAGCCCAGGAGUGCGAACAGCACCAACUGAAUCUGCCUCAAAACAGCAAGCAGCUACAGAGCCAUACAGAGCUCCACCUGGAGAGCCCCCGGCAAUGAUGUGAAGGCAGGUCCUGUCCUGCAGGUCUCCCUAGAGCUCCCCAGGGACGACACUGUGGGCCCCGACAGACAUGCGUGGUGCUGUGGGCCAGUGUAUCCUUCAAUGUGAAGGUGCUUCCACACAGCUCUAGACUCUUAGCUAAGCUAACACCACCUGCCUUCCCUGCAACCCGGCAGGAGCCUGUUCUCAGUGACAAAGGCAGACUCUGGAGAUCAGGGACUGUUGAGCUAGUGGUAGGGACUGAGCUGCCGUGAUCUCCCUCCCUAGGGAUGAACCAGGGAGGAGGAGGGAGAGAGCUGCCCACAGGGCCUCAGGAAUGAGAGCUGUGGCCAUGUCCAAGGUAAGAGGUCAUGUUGUCAAAGGUGGCCUUGUACAGGCUGCGGAAGCUGUCAUCUGUACCAACAGAACCUAUGACAAGGACAAGAAG
rnacentral:lncRNA from 1 species